AGCGGGCGAGGAAUAUCCUAUUUGACGCAUUCUGCGUCAAAUUGUCGAGGCGCCGCACACCCCCUUCCUCGUGCGACUCGCCCGUUCCUCCACAGAUAAGCUUUCCUCUCUCGUGCGGCGAUCCCCUUUUCCUCCCUCGUGCGACAGAUCCUACUCCGGCGAUCCUACUCCGGCAAGAGACCGCCGCCCUUGUGGCCAGCGUCUCCAUCAUCGGCGUCCGCGUUGUCCAGGGCUCCGUCAAGCUCGGCGUCGUCUAGGGUUCCGGCAAGCCCGGCGUCGUCUAGGGUUCCGCCAAGCUCGGCGUCAUCUACGUCCUUGUCAAGCUCGGCAUCCACAAGAUAUGUUGUAUAAAAGUCGAGAAAGCAUUUUUUCUGAUGGACUGGUGUUAGCUCUGGUGAUAUUUGUUGUAGGUUACGACUAGCAGGUCAAAAUGCAUGUAUUGAAGGAAAAACAAUGGAUACUGAUUGUUGCUAAAUUCAGAGCCAAAUUGAUUGAUAUUAUUAAUCCGUACUACAGUGGUGAUACAUUUCUACCGACAAUUAGUUCACUAAUUUACAACUUCAAGGCUUUGUUCGCUGCCACAUACGGAAAUACUAAUUCUUUUAACAUAGGAAAUUUUGAGUCAACAUUUGUACCAGCUCCCAAGGUCAAUUUCAGGUAUGACUCAGGGAUUUUCCUUCUUCAAUAUUUGAGCAACUACAGAGGUCUCGGAAUGGAGGGUUUCCCUAAUGCAAGUACCACCACAAUUACUCCAUUGAAAGCACUUUUUUCCCUUCUUUGUGAUUCUUCGGUACAUAACAGAAAUUAAAUUGCAUUUUAUUUUAAAAUUGAAGGAUGAUCUAUAAGCUCAACGUGAGAAAUACCAUUUUGAGAUUGUCACUUGCAAGGACAAUGAAAUUCAGCUGCCAUUCGUAACUUCUUUCCUGCAGAAACAUGGUUUCCGCAUAUUCAAGUGAAGCUUUGAAGGCCAAUCAUUUUUAGUCCUGCAUAUGAACUCAUCUUAGGGUCUCAUCACUAUUAUUUAUUGUCAACUUCAAGGGAAAUUGCAGUGCAAGACUUUUUUUGAACUGAAAGGAAUUCUUCCAUGAGGGAAAUGUUUCCUUAAUGAUACAGUUCUAUGUUUUUAUCAUGGUGCCCAGUGAUACUUUCUUGCAUUACUUUCAUUUGCAAAGAAGAUUCAAAACUGCAGAAUUAGUUUGUAAAGAAGCACUAAGCAUAAUUACUGUUUUUAAAUGUUUCUUCGACCUUUCAGUACUGUUAUUUAACAAGCAUAAUUACUGUUUUUAAAUGUUUCUUUACUUCAGCUA